UCAGGACCCAUCCACAUCUCAGGACUCCUCCGUGCCUGGAAACAGCGGGCAGAACAAAGAUCACGAGAGUUCCAAAGAUCCCGAGUCUCCUAAUCCAGAGUUUCAGGAAAUCAGCUUGUUAAGUUAAAUGAAUAGAACGCUGUUUAUCGCAUUUCGGAGGGGAAAGGCUCAGCGUACAAACCAAACUGGUUCAUAGAAGCAUCCCAUUUAGAGGCUAUGUUAAUGGUGGCUAUGGGAUGUCUAAAAUGGUACAUAAGGUGACAAUUUUGGCUCUACCAAAACUACACAUGAAUUUGUCAUUUUAAUUCUCAUCCUUAAUGGGGCAAAGUGAAUAGAGAAAAAGCCCCUUGAUAUGUACACUCAAACAUUCUACAGUUUCAAAGGAAAGUGUUAAU